AUCAAGAUGGCAGAAUAUUGCCACAGGUUUAAACCCUGUUCAUGAGUAAACCUCUCUUGUUA
rnacentral:tRNA from 2 species